AGUGGGACCCAAAGAUGAAUAAAUUUGCCCUCACGUGAUACCAUCACGAGAAAGCGAUCGGUCGCCACCGCUUCUCUCUCUCUCUUACAGGGCACGUGCCCCUCACGUCUCUACUCUUCCUCUCCCAUUUGCCCGUACCAAAUAAAAAUCUCACUCUCUACUUAACGGCAACGUUUGGAGUUAAACGGCGUCAAAGAGUGUCCAACAGUGCGGCGACUCUCUCGUUAGGAGAUGAUAUGGGACCCACCGCACGCGAGACGGAAGGCAAAUUGUUAACGGCAGGGAAUGGGCACCCACGUGACCAUCCUUCUCUGCUCCUCCUCCUCUUCUCCAAAUCUCACUUUCACCUUCUUGUCUUUCCU